rnacentral:SRP_RNA from 2 species
GCCAGGUGUGGUGGCGCAUACCUGUAGUCCUAGCUACUCGGGAGGCUGAGGCAGGAGAAUCGCUUGAAUCCGGGAGGCAGAGGUUGCAGUGAGCCGAUAUCACGCCACUGCACUCCAGCCUGGGUAACAGAGUGAGACUCAGUCUCAA